rnacentral:rRNA from 1 species
UGGGAUAAGCGUUGGAAACGACGUCUAAUGGCCGGAUAACGACCCUCGGAGGCAUCNCCUGGGGGNGGAAAGAAUUUUGGUCAAGGAUGAGCUGCGCGGCCUAUCAGCUAGUNGGUGAGGUAAUGGCUCACCAAGGCGACGACGGGUAGCCGCCUGAGNGGGUGACCGGCCACACUNUCCCNUUNACACGGCCCAGACUCCUACGGGAGGCAGCAGUGGGGAAUAUUGCACAAUGGGCGAAAGCCUGAUGCAGCAACGCCGCGUGAGGGACGACGGCCUUCGGGUUGUAAACCUCUUUUAGUAGGGAAGAAGCGAAAGUGACGGUACCUGCAGAAAAAGCACCGGCUAACUACGUGCCAGCAGCCGCGGUAAUACGUAGGGUGCAAGCGUUGUCCGGAAUUAUUGGGCGUAAAGAGCUCGUAGGCGGUUUGUCGCGUCUGCUGUGAAAACUGGAGGCUCAACCUCCAGCCUGCAGUGGGUACGGGCAGACUAGAGUGCGGUAGGGGAGAUUGGAAUUCCUGGUGUAGCGGUGGAAUGCGCAGAUAUCAGGAGGAACACCGAUGGCGAAGGCAGAUCUCUGGGCCGUAACUGACGCUGAGGAGCGAAAGCAUGGGGAGCGAACAGGAUUAGAUACCCUGGUAGUCCAUGCCGUAAACGUUGGGAACUAGAUGUGGGGACCAUUNCNCCGGUNUUCCGNUUUCGCAGUAAACCGCAUUAAANUUNCCCCCCUGGGGAGUACGGCCGCAAGGCUUAAAACUCAAAAGGAAUUUGACGGGGGCCCCGCACAAGCGGCGGAGCAUGCGGAUUAAUUCGAUGCAACGCGAAGAACCUUACCAAGGCUUGACAUAUACGAGAACGGGCCAGAAAUGGUCAACUCUUUGGACACUCGUAAACAGGUGGUGCAUGGUUGUCGUCAGCUCGUGUCGUGAGAUGUUGGGUUAAGUCCCGCAACGAGCGCAACCCUCGUCCUAUGUUGCCAGCACGUAAUGGUGGGAACUCAUGGGAUACUGCCGGGGUCAACUCGGAGGAAGGUGGGGAUGACGUCAAAUCAUCAUGCCCCUUAUGUCUUGGGCUUCACGCAUGCUACAAUGGCCGGUACAAAGGGCUGCAAUACCGCAAGGUGGAGCGAAUCCCAAAAAGCCGGUCUCAGUUCGGAUUGAGGUCUGCAACUCGACCUCAUGAAGUCGGAGUCNCUAGUAAUCGCAGAUCAGCAACGCUGCGGUGAAUACGUUCCCGGGCCUUGUACACACC